UACGUAGGGUGCGAGCGUUGUCCGGAAUUAUUGGGCGUAAAGAGCUCGUAGGCGGUGUGUCGCGUCGGCCGUGAAAACCUGCAGCUUAACUGUGGGCUUGCGGUCGAUACGGGCAUCACUGGAGUUCGGUAGGGGAGACUGGAAUUCCUGGUGUAGCGGUGAAAUGCGCAGAUAUCAGGAGGAACACCGGUGGCGAAGGCGGCUUCCUGGACCGACACUGACGCUGAGGCGCGAAAGCUAGGGGAGCAAACGGG
rnacentral:rRNA from 1 species